GGUAACUGCGUGCAAGGAGCGGGGGGGAAAGGGAGGGUGCAAGCGUGAAUCGGGAUGACUGGGCGUAAAGCGGACGCAGGCGGUCUGUCAAGGCGGAUGUGAAAUCCCCGGGCUCAACCUGGGAACUGCAUUCGAAACUGGCAGGCUAGAGUCUUGUAGAGGGGGGUAGAAUUCCAGGUGUAGCGGUGAAAUGCGUAGAGAUCUGGAGGAAUACCGGUGGCGAAGGCGGCCCCCUGGACAAAGACUGACGCUCAGGUGCGAAAGCGUGGGGAGCAAACAGGAUUAGAUACCCCAGUAGUC
rnacentral:rRNA from 1 species